rnacentral:rRNA from 1 species
UACAGAGGGGGCAAGCGUUGUUCGGAAUUACUGGGCGUAAAGGGCGCGUAGGCGGCCUGCUAAGUCGAACGUGAAAUCCCUGGGCUCAACCCAGGAACUGCGUCCGAUACUGGUUGGCUUGAAUCCGGGAGAGGGAUGUGGAAUUCCAGGUGUAGCGGUGAAAUGCGUUGAUAUCAGGAGGAACACCUGUGGCGAAAAGCGGCU